rnacentral:rRNA from 1 species
AUUGAACGCUGGCGGAAGGAAUAACACAUGCAAGUCGAGCGGAUGAAGGGAGCUUGCUCCUGGAUUCAGCGGCGGACGGGUGAGUAAUGCCUAGGAAUCUGCCUGGUAGUGGGGGAUAACGUCCGGAAACGGGCGCUAAUACCGCAUACGUCCUGAGGGAGAAAGUGGGGGAUCUUCGGACCUCACGCUAUCAGAUGAGCCUAGGUCGGAUUAGCUAGUUGGUGGGGUAAAGGCCUACCAAGGCGACGAUCCGUAACUGGUCUGAGAGGAUGAUCAGUCACACUGGAACUGAGACACGGUCCAGACUCCUACGGGAGGCAGCAGUGGGGAAUAUUGGACAAUGGGCGAAAGCCUGAUCCAGCCAUGCCGCGUGUGUGAAGAAGGUCUUCGGAUUGUAAAGCACUUUAAGUUGGGAGGAAGGGCAGUAAGUUAAUACCUUGCUGUUUUGACGUUACCAACAGAAUAAGCACCGGCUAACUUCGAG